rnacentral:rRNA from 1 species
UCGGGAAUUUUGCGCAAUGGACGAAAGUCUGACGCAGCAACGCCGCGUGAGGGAUGAAGGCCUUCGGGUUGUAAACCUCUUUUAUCAGGGAAGAUAAUGACGGUACCUGAUGAAUAAGUCACGGCUAACUACGUGCCAGCAGCCGCGGUAAUACGUAGGUGACAAGCGUUGUCCGGAUUUACUGGGCGUAAAGAGCGCACAGGCGGUCGUUCAAGUCGAGUGUGAAAGCCCCCGGCUCAACUGGGGAGGGUCAUUCGAUACUGAUCGACUCGAAGGCAGGAGAGGGUAGUGGAAUUCCCGGUGUAGUGGUGAAAUGCGUAGAUAUCGGGAGGAACACCAGUGGCGAAGGCGACUACCUGGCCUGUUCUUGACGCUGAGGCGCGAAAGCUAGGGGAGCAAACGGG